AGCCAUAAGAAGAUAUUUAAGGUGAGCUCUGCUCAGUGAAUAUUUUAACAGCCGCAGUACCUUGACUGUGCUAAGGUAGCAUAAUAAUUUGUCUUUUAAUUGAAGACUAGAAUGAAUGGGUUUUUGGCAGGCAGCUUUUACUUUUACUUUCUUUUGAAGUUUUUUAAAAGGUGAAAAUACCUUUUUUAAGAAAAAAGACGAGAAGACCCUAAGAGCUUUUAUAAAAGGUUAAAACUUUUUUUUUGUUGGGGCGACAGAAAAGUAUAUAUAACCUUUUCUUUUUAUUAAUCUAGAAUAUUUUAAAAUAAGCUACCUUAGGGAUAACAGCAUUAUUCUUUUUUGAGAUUGUGACCUCGAUGUUGGACUAGGGACCUAAUAGUUAGAGAUUAAAAAGGCAAGUUCUGUUCGAACAUAAUUCCCU
rnacentral:rRNA from 1 species